GCCUUGGUGGUGUAAUGGUAGUAGCACUUAUCCCCGGCAUGGGUGAAACGCGGGUUCGAUUCUCGCCUGAGGCC